AUGAACGCUGGCGGCGUGCCUAAUACAUGCAAGUCGAGCGAACAGACGAGGAGCUUGCUCCUCUGACGUUAGCGGCGGACGGGUGAGUAACACGUGGAUAACCUACCUAUAAGACUGGGAUAACUUCGGGAAACCGGAGCUAAUACCGGAUAAUAUAUUGAACCGCAUGGUUCAAUAGUGAAAGACGGUUUUGCUGUCACUUAUAGAUGGAUCCGCGCCGCAUUAGCUAGUUGGUAAGGUAACGGCUUACCAAGGCAACGAUGCGUAGCCGACCUGAGAGGGUGAUCGGCCACACUGGACCUGAGACACGGUCCAGACUCCUACGGGAGGCAGCAGUAGGGAAUCUUCCGCAAUGGGCGAAAGCCUGACGGAGCAACGCCGCGUGAGUGAUGAAGGUCUUCGGAUCGUAAAACUCUGUUAUUAGGGAAGAACAAAUGUGUAAGUAACUAUGCACGUCUUGACGGUACCUAAUCAGAAAGCCACGGCUAACUACGU
rnacentral:rRNA from 1 species